GCUGGGCAUGGUGGUGCAUGCCUGUAAUCCCAGCUACUCAGGAGGCUGAGGCAGGAGAAUUGCUUGAGCCCGGGAGGCAGAGGUAGCAGUGAGCCAAGAUCGCGCCACUGCACUCCAGCCUGGGUGACACAGCGAGACUCCGUCUCAA
rnacentral:SRP_RNA from 1 species